UUGAAUUUAUGUUUAUUUUAUAUAUAUAUUUAUAUAUAUACCUUUGUAUAGAUUAAACCGGGUGGGAUUUUAUCAUAUACAUUUUUUUGGUAUAAUACAUGAGAAACAGGAAUGGGAACAUAGCAAAUAUAAAUCAGUACAUUCCUUGAAUGAACUCUUUGCCACACAGAGACUAAAAAUUGCAUGCAGUGGGGAGACAGAGAGAAGGGAAAUCAGUUUUAUUAAAAACAAAACAAAACCCCAAAGACAAUCUAGGUACAACUGUCAACAGAGGAGCAGCACUAUAUAUGGCAAACCUGUAUAAAUUAAAAGUAAGUUCCACUCUGACAUCUACUAUGCUUUAAAGUGCAAUGAAGCCUGAUUUAUUUACCUACAGAAUACAGGAAAGAUUACCCCCUCUCCCCAUUCCAAUCUAUCCCUAAAAAAACCCCAAAACCAAACCACAAACGAAAAAACAAUAAAAUAAAUCUAAAGGAUAUACAUUAUCCACAGUCCUAUAGAGACGCCUACAUCUACUCAGUAGCACCAAGAAUCUGAUAUGGGUGUAAUUAAAUCAAUUAAAACUGGGGAGCAAUGGGAACAUCUUCUGCUGCUUUUGCAGACCUCCUGCCCUUCAUUAGUGUCUUGGAGGGGAGGCAGCUCCUCUCCCUGUGCUGGAAGCCAAGGGGACAGUGUCCUGUCCUCUCUCCAUCCCUGGCUGAGCUGUCUUGGCAGCAGGCUACGAACACGCACACACACACACAGAGCACAGUGAGAGCAGCUGCAGGUUACACCGAGGGGACGUGAUGGGAAGCCGAGGCCCCACGUGUGCACACACAGGUGUCUGCACGUGGGUGCAUGUGUGUGGAGGGAGCGGGGCUGAUCUACACAGAGGUGAAGGGUUGUGUGAGUCCAACACAUGCCACGAGCCUCCUUGGUGAAAAGGUGAUAGAUAGGGAGGGAGGGAGGGAGGGAGGGAGGGAGAGAAAGGGACUCAGCACAGUCCUCCUCUUGCCAGCCUCUGGUUGUGUCGUCUUCCAAGGCCGGGGGCCUGUGUGCCACAGUUCAUCCGUCUCCACAUGCCACCUCUCAACAGGCUUCAGUAGCCAAAGGUCUCCUGGGAAGCAUAGACCAUGUAGAGGAAGCCGUCCUCAUCCUUCUCCUGCUCGUAGAUCUCCGAGAUGGGGGUAGACACGCUCACCAUGCUGUGCUGGUUCACCAGCAGGAAGAAAGCCUGGGUGGGAUUCAGCUGCAAGCGACGC
rnacentral:lncRNA from 1 species